AGUAAAAAGCAAAACUAUAGCGAUGUAGUGACGCAAAACUAAAGGGUCUUAAAUCGUCUCGUUGAUUAAGAUAGCCAGUUGCC
rnacentral:ncRNA from 1 species